UGAUAUUGCGGAUGUGGUUACUGAUUGUUACUAUGUUGCUGAUACUAUUGAUUGUCUCUGAAAACAGGUGCUAUAUGAGCCACCUGGUGCUGGUUACUGGCGGGACGCACAGUCUUCCUCCUCACAAAGGGUCUUCUUGGUUUCUCAUGGGAGAUCACAGCAUGUGCCUCUCCAUCUUUCUUCUUUGCAAACGCCCCAUAACGUUUGGCAGAAG
rnacentral:lncRNA from 1 species